GUUUAAUCCACUGUGCAAUAUUGUUUAGUAUAAUACACUGUUUAAUCCACUGUGCAAUUUAGUAUUUGGAUUGGAUAUAUGAAAACAUAAAGGAAGGAGAGUGUACAGGGGAUGACCUGGAUAAAACUGCAGCGGAAGAGGAAGAAGAACCAGUUUACUCAGAAGAAGAAAAAUAAAAAUAUUUGAAAUUUAAAAAUUUUAUUUAAAUUGAUGUGAUCUAUAAGUAAAUUCGGUUUUCUUGUUUUACCAAAUAAACGGCUAAAAUCCAUUAAA